UCGAGAAUCUUCCGCAAUGGGCGAAAGCCUGACGGAGCGACACCGCGUGCAGGACGAAGGCCCUCGGGUUGUAAACUGCUGUCACGCUCUAGGAAUGCCAUGUCGUUAAUAGCGGCAUGGUUGACCAAGGCGAAAGGAAGUGGCGGCUAACUCUGUGCCAGCAGCCGCGGUAAGACAGAGGCCACGAACGUUGUUCGGAAUUACUGGGCAUAAAGCGCACGUAGGCGGCUAGGUCCGUCCGAUGUGAAAUACCCCGGCUCAACCGGGGAACUGCAUCGGAUACAGCCUGGCUUGAGGAUGGUUGGGGUGAGUGGAACUUCUGGUGGAGCGGUGAAAUGCGUAGAUAUCAGAAGGAACACCGGUGGCGAAAGCGGCUCACUGGACCAUUACUGACGCUGAGGUGCGAAAGCUAGGGGAGCAAACGGGAUUAGAUACCCUGGUAGUCCCUGAGCGGGCUGGCAAGGCGCAU
rnacentral:rRNA from 1 species